AUUGUGGGCUGGAGCCCGUCCUGCCACACUCAUUGCCUGAAGUUAGCUCUGCCUGCCCUGGGACGUCUUCCUGGGGGCUUGGAAAUUGCCCCGGAACUUUCCGCCAGACCGCGGUGUACCAGGACCUCCGGGAGGUGUUCAAAGGUUCGACCUCGGGGCAGGGGAUUCCAGUACCUGGUUUACAGGGAGGGUUGGGUCUUACCUUAAACGUGAUAAUACCAGGCAGUGUCAGAGGAAGGUCCUAAAAAUUGUCAAAGACUCCAGCUACCCUAGUCAUAGACCGUUCUCUCUGCUACCGCACAGGAACCAGUACCGGAGCGCCAAGUCUUGGUCCAAGAGGCUUCUAAACAGCUUCUACCCCCAAGCCAUGAGACUCCUGAACAUCUAAUCAAAUGGCUACCCGGACUAUUUGCAUUGCCUCUCAACCUUUUACACUGCUGCUACUCUGUUAUUAUCUAUGCAUAGUCACUUUAAUAACUCUACCUACAUCAAAUCAAACUUUAUUUGCCACAUGCGCUUAAUACAAGUGUAGACUUUACUGUGAAAUUACUCACAAGCCCUUAACCAACAGUGUAGUUCAAGAAAAAUGUAAUAUUUACGAAGUAGGCUAAAUUUAAAAGUAAUAAUAAAAAGUAACACAAUAAGAAUAACGAGGCUAUAUACAGGGGGCACCAGAACCGAGUCAGUGUGCAGGGGUACAGGCAAGUUUAGGUGAUCUGUACAUGUAGGUGGGGGUGAAGUGACUAUGCAUAGAUAAACAAACAGCGAGUAGCAGCAGUGUACAAGAGGGGAGGGGGUGUCAAUGUAAAUUGUCCGAUGCGGUUGCAGAGAAAACAGUCUAUAACUUGGGUGACUGGAGUCUCUGACAAUUUUAUGGGCUUUCCUGACACCACCCAUUAUAUAGGUCCUGGAUGGCAGGAAGCUUGGCCACAGUGAUGUACUGGGCCGUAUGCACUACCCUCUGUAGCGCCUUACGGUCAAAUGCCGAGCAGUUGCCAUACCAGGCCGUGAUGCAACCGGUCAGGAGGCUCUCAAUGGUGCAGCUAUAGAACCUUUUGAGGAUCUGGGGGCCCAUACCAAAUCUUUUGAGUCUCCUGAGGGGGAAAAGGGUUUUGUCGUGCCCUCUUCACGACUGUCUUGGUAUGUUUGGACCAUGUUAGUUUGUUGGUGAUGUGUAGACCAUGUACACCAAGGAACUUGAGACUCUCAACCCGCUCCACUACAGCCCCGUCGAUGUUAAUGGGGGCCUGUUCGGCCCGCCUUUUCCUGUAGUCCACGAUCAGCUCCUUUGUCUUGCUCACAUUGAGGGAGAGGUUGUUGUCCUGGCACUACACUGCCAGUUCUCUGACCUCCCUAUAGGCCGUCUCAUCGUUGUCGGGGUACACAUUACCUCGACUAACCGGAGCCCCCUCACAUUGACUCUGUACCGGUACUCCCUGUAUAUAGCCUCACUAUUGUUAUUUUACUGUUGAAUUAUUUCUUACUUUUAUUUCUUAUUUUCUAGUUAUUUUUCUUAACUGCAUUGUUGGUUUAGGGCUUGAUGGUAAGCAUUUCACUGUCAGGUUUACACCUAUUGUAUUCGGCACAUGUGACAAAUCAAAUUUGAUGAUACCGGUAUGGUAGACCCCAGUCAGUGAGGUUGACCUAUAUCUGAUAUGUUUUUGUAAACUCAACCAAGUUAAGCCAGAUGGUACGCUUUUUGGGGAGGUAAGUGCUAGCAACAACAUUGUGUGAAGAUUUUGAAGAAUGCCUAUUGAGCCUUCAACCUUUCUAAUCUUGGGCACCCAGCGGAUCUGUCCACAAGAGAUUACCGCCUUUUGUGACAGUUAUUACUUGAAUCGGAUGUAGCUGACAAGAAACUAAACACUAAAUUGGUCAUUUCAGUGGAGUCUUUCCCAUUUGAAACAAGCAUGGUAACAAGCAUUUGUUGUUACACCUCUGUAAUAAGACUGCAAUUACCACCAGUUAGUUACCACAUGUUAGUGUAAAUAUGAGUUAUUACAAUUAACUCCAAUACUUUACAAUGUAAUAAGGACCCCUUAAAAUGAAGUGUUACCCAUUUUAUACAUCACCCUUUUGUAUCAAUUGCAAAGUGUAUUUGUAGUCUACUUUGUUUUGAAGUUAUAGCCAGUCACAGAGACGCCCACGGGAGGGCAAAAGAGCAUCCAACGACGCACUUAGCUGUUCUACGAGUGGUCUGAGGCAGGCGUUAGAUUACGAGCAUUUUCAAGUGCAACCUUAAUAAAUAUGGUUUUGGGAAA